rnacentral:lncRNA from 1 species
GUGUAUGUUUGAGGAGGAAGCAGACGUAGAGUAACAGCCAGUUGCUUGGAGAUUGGAAAUGCAUGAGCGCCGGAUCCUGAUAAUGCUGCAAGCGCUGAAGAAGAGUGGACCUCCGCUCCUGAAGAACCGACUACGGAACAGAAGCCAUUCUCCACCUCCCAACAUGAUUGCUCUAAGGGGCCAAGAGGGGAGAGGAGGAGAUGGAGGCAGAGGAAGAAAGGAGGAGAGAUGAAGAAGAAGAAUAUUUUAAUUCUCAAAAGAUUAUCUCAAUAAAGGAGAGAUAACCUUUUCUUUUUCUUUUAAA